CCUACGGGAGGCAGCAGUGGGGAAUAUUGCGCAAUGGGCGAAAGCCUGACGCAGCGACGCCGCGUGAGGGAUGAAGGUCUUCGGAUUGUUAACCUCCGUCAGCAGGGAAGAACGGUCACUGUGCUAAUCAGCAGUGCAUUGACGGUACCUGAAAAGGAAGCCCCGGCUAACCCCGUGCCAGCAGCCGCGGUAAUACGGAGGGUGCGAGCGUUAAUCGGAAUUAGUGGGCGUAAAGCGCUCGUAGGCGGUAUGUCAAGUCAAGGGUGAAAUCCCCGCGCUCAACGUGGGAACUGCCUUUGAAACUGGCAAACUGGAGUGUGUGAGAGGAUAGUGGAAUUCCAGGUGUAGGAGUGAAAUGCGUAGAUAUCAGGAGGAACAUCAGUGGCGAAGGCGACUAUCUGGCACAUAACUGACGCUGAGGAGCGAAAGCGUGGGUAGCAAACAGGAUUAGAUACCCCAGUAGUC
rnacentral:rRNA from 1 species